ensembl:lncRNA
UCUCUUUCUGGAGAUCCCUCCUUGGUGAAGCUUUCCCCUGUGAAUAUGGAAUCUUCUGAUACAGGUUUUCAAUGACCAUUCUGUUACUGUAACCACCAUGGAUGCGAACGCUGUGGUGAUAAAGGCUUGCUAUUUUCUCCUACUGGAUUCCUCAAAUCCAAGAGCUACUCAGCAGUUUCCAAGGCAACCACCUGUGGAAUAAUUAAAAAGGAUGAAGUGUUAGUGUGCCAGAUGAACGGAAUUCUUGCCUGGAGAGAGCACUUCAUUUUCAGCUGUUCUGAAGAAUCAAAUGUGAUUCUGCCAGCACAGUUCAGAUGUGAAUCUGAAGCACAGAGGAGAACAAAGUGGCCAACCUGUUUAUACUCAAUGCCCACUGAUGUGCUUUAGAGUGCCUAAAACACAAGUUUGUCAAGUAAUGUCAAAAACUGAAGAAACAUCCCAGUCUUUCUGGAGCAAAUGUUGGAAGCAAAACAAGGAACAGCCAUAGGAGGACGAAAUGAUGUCUGAGUUGCCAUACAAGCAUCCAGGGACAAUCCAAAAAGUCAUCAAUCUCCUGCUCAAAGUAAGGCUGCGCAUGAAACUAGAUGAAGCUGCUCAAUGCUUUUACUAAUUGAAAAUCCCCAAGAACUGAGAGCUGAUAGCCUUUCUAGCCUCUUCUUCUACAGUUUGCUCAUUUUCACACUGAACAAUUUUUUCCUUACGUCUAAUCAGAAUUCACCUCGCUGCAGCUUGCAACUGUGGCUUUUUGCCAUUUGGCUGUGUGCUCCUGACAAGUUGUAUGUCCUCAGUAACCCCCUCUAGGUAAGCAAGGGCGCUAAUAAAGGAUUUUGGCUGAUAACAAGUGUUCUGUGUGUUGCAAGGAUCCAGGAGUUGUCUUUUGAGAACGCUUCCUCUCUUUGGGCAUGGAAGUGGUAAGAAGCAUCAGAAUCAGAUUCUCAAGAUACAGCCAUGUUAUCAAAUGACGCUGGCAUUUACUGGACUUCUGUAACAUCUCAUCCAACAUUCUUCAAAUCCACUGGCACGACUGAAUUGGUGUCUAGCACUUAAGACAGAUCUAACUCAUCUUCACUGUAUUUCUAGUUUUUUUAAAUAAAUGAAUUCCCCUCCUUAGGAGAUUCUUUGCAUUUUGAAGUUGUGAGCUUACGUUGAAUCACCAGUUCAGCAGUUCAAUGUAAAUAAUUUCAAGUAGUGUCAUAACUCAGUUGCUUAAGUAGUUGCUGCCUUCGGAGGAAACAUGAGUGCAGCAUUGGUUCUUGGGAGAAACUAACCUAGUGGCUUUUGAGUAUGUCCUGGGGAUGAAUUUGUUAUUUAUGGAGGCAUUACAAAUUGUAUCAUUUCAAAUGAACUGGUCCUAAAUGUAAUUCCUUAAUGGCUGGAUACAUCUGAAAAUGCAGGCAACUUUGUGUUUUUAAUUGUUGGCUGUUGGAGCUUCAGUGUUUGCACAGUCACUGUGUGAAAGCUGAAUGCAUAAAUCCCAUCAGAGGGAAACACAAAAAUAACCAAGAACACCAUUAGAAAGAAGAAAGAAGGGAACUUUGCUGUCGUGUAAUCAGUUUGUACAGAUUUGGGCCUUCUUUUGUAUGUAUAGAGUGACUUCACUGUAGCCCAUCCAGGGUCACAAUAGUUAAGUCAUUCCAUAGAAAUCAAAGGAGGUACAAUCUUGUGAAACCUGCUUAAUAGGGAAAGCGUAGCCUUUGAAUCUAGAAGCUGAACUGGCUAAGCAAACAUCUAAUAUUGACUUGAUUCCUUAGUCUGAUUGCCUACCUUUAGACUUGGAGAGUAAAACUUAUCUCUAGCAAAAUGAAAUAUACAUCUUAAUUAUGUUUUUAACACAUUUACCAUCUUCCUAAAAAAGCAUGUAUGCCUGGUACUCCUCUCCCAGUAAAAGGUAGCUGUUUCAACUCCCUCUGUGCUUAAUGUUUUCUCCCAGCUUCUCUUCCAGUAUUCAAGACGCAUGAGGAACUGGAGGACUGAUAAUGUGGCUGUUAAUUAAAUAAAUGUGCAUUGAGAUUCAAGAGGUUAGAGCCUACAGGACUUAACUGCAAACUGUUUUUUUCCAUACUCAAGAGGCAUGAGUCAGAUUUUGCAAAGUGAGUCAAAUCUAUCCUUAUAUUCAUUUGAAGACACAGUAAUGGAUGUAGGGUUUGAAAUAGUGUUACACGUAGAAAUGGGUUAUUACACUGACUGAGCUUGUAACGCUCUCUUGGUGUGGCAAGGGGAUCUGGAUGGACCUCCGUGGUUGGGAAUGUGGAAGGAUCAGAAGUUCAGUCCCUGGAAAGAGUGAGUAGUCCUGCAGCCUGGAGGGUGUGG